GAACUCCCUUCUCUGUGGGCAUGUGACUGUUCUACGGGCUUGGAAGGAGGACAGGUCCACUCCACUAGUUUAACAAACAAAAAGAGAAGGUUGGAAUAGUAACCCCAGAGGCAGUCACUGAAGACGAUCCUGUGCGACUUGUGAAAUCCUAUUGCACAAUCCCGCAGUAGGACCAGCAAACCAACAGUUCUCAGACUGUGCCACCCACAGAGCCGUGACUAUAGUAGCUGUACGGCAUGAGGGUGAUUCUCCGUCUCCACGCAGAAACGCCACAGCAGAAGGGCGUGGAAGAUCAAAGCUGCUCAGCUGACAGCUGCCAGGAAGCAGAGGAGAGCAAGAGAAAGAAGGGAGUGAGAAGCAGUGAUGAGAGAUCAGAUGUGGAUGCUAAAUGACCACCAAACACACCCAGAAGUGCUCUUCGCCCGUUCCCCAGGCGGCUCCCGAGCCAAUCAAACUGACGAUUCCCCUUAACGGGUCCAUCUGCUUAUUAGCUAAAGCCCAACUCAGAGUCACUUCUUUUGCUAAGUACUUUUUCAACAAAUAUUUAUCGAGAGACUUCUGUAUGCCCAAAGGGCUGGGGAAUCCAACAGUUAAUAUGGAAAAUAAAACCCCUGCUCACAUGUACUUUCUUUUGUGCUCCAAUAGUCUGUAACUAAACCUUAAGAAACUACACGCCCUCUUAUAGAUGAGGCAAUGACAUGAAUGUCUUGUCCAAUGUAAGAUGCUUAU